UUUCAGUGCUGAUAAAAUCAAAUUGCUGGUAAAAAUUUGGCUGUGAUAUGUGCUUAACUUCUCAAUCUAAUACCAGUCAAGAUAGACAUGAGGAAAGGAAGAGUUAUAAUGGAACUUUUGACAUUUGCCAACCUAUAGCUUUGCUGUCAAAAAAAAAAAAAGAGUUGCCAGUUGGAAUAAACAAAAAGCCUUUUUCAGGGCUGAUAAAAUGUGUUGGAAAUGGCAGCCAGAUUAAAGCCUCCACAUCAAAAUGAAUGCUGAAAAAGCUCUUUUCAGGACUAAAGAGGAGAUUCAAGUUGUCAGCAGCCACUCUGAAUCUGGCAAGCAAUGUGAAGUACUUAGGGCUAGAGAACUUUAAUUAGACUUCUCUCCAGGCUAAACAGAAGUUCUUAGUCUUCAUCCUUGAUAACUCACUGAUUGGCUUCUGUUGUACCGACAAAUAUUAACUUUGACAAGAAUUUGUGUAUGCGUGCCAUGUAAUCAAGUGCUAUAUUGUUAUAUGAGCAGGAACUUGGGCCUUUGUGCAGUGGAUUAUGUGCUGAUAUUACAGCAGUAGCUCAAACCCAAUAUUAUUGACCUCUUGUUUCUUUGCCUUGAGAAGGUGCUGUGUUUUGUUUAGAAAACAGCUUCCAAGCAAUAAUUUCUUU